CUUGGUCGUCCAUGAGUGGUGGCAGCAAGUCUUGCUUGUAGCCGGCUGCUUCCUCCACAAAUGCUGUACGUUGAACUAUUCGGAUCAAAGCGAACAGCGCCCUUUUGAAUUCUGACACUUGUAUUGAUCCGGUGAGUCGUUAAUUUUCGUUGCUCCGAGCAUUGUGAACAAAUCUGUGGAUAUCACCGGUGCAGAUGAAUUUGGCAGGAUCUGGAGGGGUAAUUUUCACCUGGGACCACUGGGUAGGAACACGACGCCACUUAUAAUACGAUUACGGCGACCAACCAGAAGUCUACAGAAGCGGUUAUUUUGGGUACGUGCAGUUGUUUCUGGACUCAUGUUACGAAUAUGGUAGAAAGGACGGCUGCCGGUAGUUCCACCCUAGGUCGACUUGGUUUGACCCGACUGCGUGUAAAUUGGCGUGUGUUUUCUCGUGUAUGUCCAGAGCUUGAAAGUAUUCGCACGUUGCAUAUGCAGAGGACGAUCCAUCGAAAAACAUAUGUAACUGGAGAGACUACUUUGCUCAAGUCGAAUCCAAGCCAGCGAGCGUAUCUGGUAAUGAAUCAUCCCAGUCCAGUGCUCGGUAACUGCCAUCGGCUUGCUGAACGUGGAAGUUCUAUAUAUCUUUUAGGAGGAUCUCUGACAUGACAAUCAUGGGAUAACAGUUUGGAAUGGGUAGUAUUAAUCUUAAACUUGAUUUGGAAGCCAUAUUAGUCAUGAUUUGUGUGUUGGCCCGACCAAGGAGAAGACAGAGUUUCAGAUUAAAGUCGCUUUAUUGUAGUAUUUUACAGCUGACUCCUCCUGUGAUCGCCGUCCGCUGCGGGGCGUUGCCUUCUUUGUCCUGUGCGUUCUUGACAACGGACCACGUGUCGGCUCGAGUGGGAUUAGGAUAUUAUGGGACAGGGCGUAUCGUCAGCGGCUUAAGGAAUCGCUUGGCCUGGGACCACCUUUCCCGACUACUGACUCCACUGUCCC